rnacentral:rRNA from 1 species
AUGGCGGCGCCGUCGGCAGCCAUGCGCAAGAAGCUGCAGCGCAAAUUCCGGCUGCGUGGCUUCACCCUCAAAGUUGACGCCCUCGAGGAGGCGGCCGCCUUCCUCGCCCGCUUCCCCGACGCCGAGGACGAGGCCCUCGACCUCCUCCUCGACGAGCUCGACAAAGAGCCGCUGAAGUCGUCGAUACUGGACCGGGACGCGGUCCGUCGCGUGGUGUCCCUACUGGUCGAGGCGGAGGAGGCGGUCGACGCGGCAUCGCCUUCCGCCACCAGCGUCCAGGCGGCGCUGCGGGUGGUGGACUCGUUCGUCGUGCCGCGGUUCCACUACGACCCAAUCAAGAAAGUGUUCUACGAGCAUACUGGAAGAUUAGCCCUCCAUGGAGAAGCUGGAGAUAAAGCCGCCCUUUACAGGGAUAGAUAUCAAGUGCUGCUUCAGAGGCUCGCUCGUGAUAAAUAUUUCUCCAAGCCAGCUUUUGAGUCUGUUAUGACUGAAAAUGAAAGUUGUGAGAUUACUUCCAUACAGUCCUUAGUUGGGUGUACUGGGCGGAGAUGGAUCAUGGGGGUCAUAUCGCAGUUGGAGGAACGCCAGUUCUACUUGGAGGAUCUUACUGGAGCAGUGCCAAUUGACUUGGCGAAUGCAAAAAUCACUUCAGGUUUCUUUGUUGAAAACACAGUGAUUGUAGCAGAAGGAGAAUUACUUUCAAGUGGCAUUUUCCAGGUCAAUACCUGUGGGUUUCCUCCCUUAGAGGACAGAGAAACAUCACUUUCACUGCUUAUGGGUCUUGAUUUCUUUGGUGGAGGUGUCAUACCAACUGAAGAAGCACUAAGAUUGUCAUCACUAGAAAAUAAGGCUGUGAACGACAUGUUUGUCAUUCUUUCAGAUGUUUGGCUCGACAGUUAUGAGACUAUGGAGAAGUUGGGUGUUGUUCUUGAUGGCUAUGAAAGUGUGGAAGUAGUUCCUUCUCUCUUUGUUCUAAUGGGAAAUUUCUGCUCCCGGCCCUGCAAUCUGGCAUUCAAUUCGUUUGAAGAACUCAGAUUGCAGUUUGGAAAGCUUGGUGAGAUGAUCGCAUCUCGAACUAGGUUAAAGGAACAUAGUCGUUUUUUAUUCAUUCCUGGUCCUGAUGAUGCAGGACCUUCUAAAGCUCUCCCAAGGUGUGCGCUCCCAAAGUAUCUAAUUGAGGAACUUCAGAAGCACAUCCCAAAUGCUAUAUUUGUAAGCAACCCCUGCAGGGUUAAGUUUUAUACACAAGAAAUAGUGUUUUUCCGGCAAGAUCUCCUUUACAGGAUGCGGCGGUCAUGCUUGAUUCCACCAACAACGGAAGAAACAAGUGACCCAUUUGAACAUCUAGUAGCAACUAUCACCCAUCAGAGUCAUCUGUGUCCAUUGCCUCUUACAGUGCAACCUAUUAUAUGGAACUACGAUCAUUGCCUACGGCUAUAUCCAACUCCUGACAUGAUAGUAUUGGCUGACAAGAGUGAGCAGAAGGCCUUCAAAUAUACAGGAAUCACUUGCUUCAAUCCUGGUUCUUUUGCGAACGACAGCACUUUUGCAGCAUACCGUCCUUGCACUAAGGAGGUUGAGCUUUCUGCAUUAGAAAGCUAA